rnacentral:rRNA from 1 species
GACGAACGCUGGCGGCGUGCCUAAUACAUGCAAGUAGAACGCUGGAGGAGGAGCUUGCUUCUCUGGAUGAGUUGCGAACGGGUGAGUAACGCGUAGGUAACCUGCCUGGUAGCGGGGGAUAACUAUUGGAAACGAUAGCUAAUACCGCAUAAUAUUGACUAUUGCAUGAUAGUCAGUUGAAAGGUGCAACUGCACCACUACCAGAUGGACCUGCGUUGUAUUAGCUAGUUGGUGGGGUAACGGCUCACCAAGGCGACGAUACAUAGCCGACCUGAGAGGGGGAUCGGCCACACUGGGACUGAGACACGGCCCAGACUCCUACGGGAGGCAGCAGUAGGGAAUCUUCGGCAAUGGACGGAAGUCUGACCGAGCAACGCCGCGUGAGUGAAGAAGGUUUUCGGAUCGUAAAGCUCUGUUGUAAGAGAAGAACGAGUGUGAGAGUGGAAAGCUCACACUGUGACGGUAUCUUACCAGAAAGAGACGGCUAACUACGUG